AUGCAAACCUGAUGACUAACUCUGCAUGACACUGCAGAAGAGAGGGAACCAGGUUUGCUACAGUAACUGUGGUGACAGAGAUGCGUUAGCCUCAGAAGCUACUGAGGUGGCCCAUUUUAUCCUUGAACAGUG